UUUCCCUGGUGGCUUCGCGUUUGGUGUGGUGUGUAAUUGUGGCAUGUUGCAUAUGUGAGUUUGCCUCUGACUCUGUUGUGGAGGCUUCUUCGAAUCUGGUGUUUUUUGGAAAGUUAGUCAACGGGUCAUUUAGCUUAACUGGCUUGGUGUUUCCGGAGGAUGGGUCGUUUUCAUGUCCAGUUCUCUAUAUGAGUCCUCGAUUUAUGAGUGUACACGAUCACAUUGAAACGUUCAUAAGGCAGCAAACUCUGGGUUGAGAACUUGCUUGAUACAUAAAAAAAAAAAGCAUGCUUAAACUUUCGCGUUU